GAUGAAGAACGCAGCGAAAUGCGAUAAGCAGUGUGAAUUGCAGAAUUCAGUGAAUCAUCGAAUCUUUGAACGCACAUUGCGCCCCUUGGUAUCCCGAGGGGCAUGCCUGUUCGAGCGUCAUUUCACCGCUCAAGCCUGGCUUGGUGUUGGGCGACGUCCUCUUUGGGGACGCGCCUCGAAACGCUCGGCGGCGUGGCACCGGCUUUAAGCGUAGCAGAAUCUUUCGCUUUGGAAGUCGGGGCCCCGUCUGCCGGAAGACCUGCUCGCAAGGUUGACCUCGGAUCAGGCAGGGAUACCCGCUGAACUUAAGCAUAUCAAUAAGCGGGGGA
rnacentral:misc_RNA from 1 species